rnacentral:rRNA from 1 species
GACAGAGGUGCCGAGCGUUAGGCGGAAUCACUGGGCUUAAAGCGUGUGUAGGUGGAUGUCUAAGUACCUUGUGAAAUCCCACGGCUUAACCGGGGAACUGCGUCUGAUACUGGAUGGCUUGAGGUUGGGAGAGGGAUGCGGAAUUCCAGGUGUAGCGGUGAAAUGCGUAGAUAUCUGGAGGAACACCGGUGGCGAAGGCGGCAUCCUGGACCAAUUCUGACACUGAGGAGCGAAAGCCAGGGGAGCAAACGGG